UUUUCCUUGUCACAUCCAGUGACUUAAAAUUUUUCCAGAAAAAACCAAACAAUCGAUUGUUUGUUUUGACAAUCGAUUGUCUGGUCCAGUAACUUAGAAAAAUUUUUCCUUGUCACAUCCAGACUUAAAAUUUUUUUAGAAAAAACCAAACAAUCGAUUGUCUGUGUUGACAAUCGAUUGUCUGGUCCAUUAAAGUUUAAGAAAAACGUUUCAACUCUCUUAAGUUU
rnacentral:lncRNA from 1 species